AACGCACAUUGCGCCCAUUAGUAUUCUAGUGGGCAUGCCUGUUCGAGCGUCAUUUCAACCCUCAAGCCCUAGUUGCUUGGUGUUGGGAGCCUAUCUCCGGAUAGCUCCUCAAAACCAUUGGCGGAGUCGCGAUGGCCCCAAGCGUAGUAAUUUUUAUUCGCUUCAGGUGUGUCAGCGCUGGCGUCCAGCCGUUAAACCCCCUAUUUUUUAGUGGUUGACCUCGGAUCAGGUAGGAAUACCCGCUGAACUUAA
rnacentral:misc_RNA from 1 species